GAUGAACGCUGGCGGCGUGCUUAAUACAUGCAAGUCGAACGAGGUGCUUCUGUAGUAAUACGGGAGUAUCCUAGUGGCGAACGGGUGAGUAACACGUUGGUGACCUGCCCCGAAGUGUGG
rnacentral:rRNA from 1 species